rnacentral:ncRNA from 1 species
UUACAGGCGUUGAAGUAGCCCAGUAGGAUAAUGGUCCCUGGCUAAGAGACUUGGUGGUAGCUGUAAACCAAGGCAAACCAGUUAUCUGAAUUACACUAUGGAGCUAAUAACGGGUCAUUCCGAUAUUGAUGACAGAGUUGGCUGUUUUGACAGCAAACUGGGUGGUAACGCGGAGAAUUUCGUCCCUAAU